rnacentral:rRNA from 1 species
CGUGUCUCUAGUGCCAGCAGCCGCGGUAAUACAGAGGGUGCAAGCGUUAAUCGGAUUUACUGGGCGUAAAGCGCGCGUAGGCGGCUAAUUUAAGUCAAAUGUGAAAUCCCCGAGCUUAACUUGGGAAUUGCAUUCGAUACUGGUUAGCUAGAGUGUGGGAGAGGAUGGUAGAAUUCCAGGUGUAGCGGUGAAAUGACGUAAGAGAUCUAGGAGAAUACCGAUGGCGAAGGCAGCCAUCUGGCCUAACACUGACGCUGAGGUGCGAAAGCAUCGGGGAGCAAACAGGAUUAGAUACCCUGGUAGUCCAUGCCGUAAACGAUGUCUACUAGCCGUUGGGGCCUUUGAGG